rnacentral:rRNA from 2 species
GUCCAUGGCCAUACCACCCUGAACGCACCUGAUCGUGUACAAUCCUGGCAGCUAAGCAGGGUCGGGCCUGGUUAGUACUUGGAUGGGAUUGCGCCUGGGAAUACCGGGUGCUGUAGGCU